UACGGAGGAUGCGAGCGUUAUCCGGAUUUAUUGGGUUUAAAGGGUGCGUAGGCGGCUUAGUAAGUCAGCGGUGAAAUUUUGCAGCUUAACUGUAACAGUGCCGUUGAUACUGCCAGGCUAGGAUUUGGUUGCUGUGGGUGGAAUGUGUGGUGUAGUGGUGAAAUGCUUAGAUAUCACACAGAAUAUCGAUUGCGAAGGCAGCUCACAAAGCCAAGAUUGACGCUGAGGCACGAAAGUGUGGGGAUCAAACA
rnacentral:rRNA from 1 species